rnacentral:rRNA from 1 species
UACGUAGGUGGCGAGCGUUGUCCGGAUUUACUGGGCGUAAAGGGAGCGUAGGCGGACUUUUAAGUGAGAUGUGAAAUACUCGGGCUCAACUUGAGUGCUGCAUUUCAAACUGGAAGUCUAGAGUGCAGGAGAGGAGAAUGGAAUUCCUAGUGUAGCGGUGAAAUGCGUAGAUAUAUGGAAGAACACCAGUGGCGAAAGCGGCUCUCUGGUCUGUAACUGACGCUGAGGUUCGAAAGCGUGGGGAGCAAACAGG